rnacentral:sRNA from 1 species
AGCAGCCGCGGUAAUUCCAGCUCCAAUAGCGUAUAUUAAAGUUGUUGCAGUUAAAAAGCUCGUAGUUGAAUUUCGGGGUUAGUAGGCUGGUCAUGCCAACGGUAUGUACUGGUCUCACUGAUUCCUCCUUCCUGACGAACCUUAAUGCCAUUAAUUUGGUGUUUUUGGGAAAUUUGGACUGUUACUUUGAAAAAAUUGGAGUGUUUAAAGCAAGCUAACGCUUGAAUACAUUAGCAUGGAAUAAUGAAAUAGGACGUUCGAUCCUAUUUUGUUGGUUUCUAGGAUUGACGUAAUGAUUAAUAGGGAUAGUUGGGGGCAUUAGUAUUCAAUUGUCAGAGGUGAAAUUCUUGGAUUUAUUG